rnacentral:antisense_RNA from 1 species
CUUCAACGAGCCGAGCCAGAGCGGGCGUUCGGCCACCCGCUCGCGUCCGUAGGUGGCAAGCAGCGCCUGCGCUUC